rnacentral:tRNA from 1 species
AAAUCCGUCGAAUUUUUUAAUNCGUGAGGGUUCAAGUCCCUCUAUCCCCA